GAAUAUUGCACAAUGGGGGAAACCCUGAUGCAGCAACGCCGCGUGAAGGAUGAAGGUUUUCGGAUUGUAAACUUCUUUAGUCAGGGACGAAAGAAAUGACGGUACCUGAAGAAUAAGCCACGGCUAACUACGUGCCAGCAGCCGCGGUAAUACGUAGGUGGCGAGCGUUGUCCGGAAUUACUGGGUGUAAAGGGCGUGUAGGCGGGAAUGUAAGUCAGAUGUGAAAUCCCAGGGCUUAACUUUGGAGCUGCAUCUGAAACUAUGUUUCUUGAGUGCCGGAGAGGAAAGCGGAAUUCCUAGUGUAGCGGUGAAAUGCGUAGAUAUUAGGAGGAACACCAGUGGCGAAGGCGGCUUUCUGGACGGUAACUGACGCUGAGGCGCGAAAGCGUGGGGAGCAAACA
rnacentral:rRNA from 1 species